AGAAACAUCUCGCGAUGGUUCAUGUCUCUCGCGAUACUUCGCCUGCCUUGUCUUUUCCUCCUUCCGUCGCCCGGCUUUCCUUCCCUCCCCCUCACUGCCGACGGAGUUCUUCAUUUUCGGACGGAAUCGCCUCGUCGCGGAGAUUUUUUUUUUUUCCUCUGCUGUUGCUCCUUCUGCUACCGCCGCCGCCAGUGGGCUCCUUUUCCUCGACCCCUUCCCGCCGCCCCAUCCCUAGUCCCACACAAGAUGUCAGAGGACCUAGCAAAGCAGCUGGCAAGCUACAAAGCUCAACUCCAGCAAGUAGAAGCUGCAUUAUCUGGAAAUGGAGAAAACGAAGAUUUGCUAAAAUUGAAGAAAGAUUUGCAAGAAGUUAUAGAACUAACCAAAGAUCUUCUGUCAACUCAGCCUUCAGAAACUCUUACAAGUUCAGACAGUUUUGCUUCUACUCAGCCCACUCAUUCAUGGAAAGUAGGAGACAAGUGUAUGGCAGUCUGGAGUGAAGAUGGACAGUGUUACGAAGCGGAGAUUGAGGAGAUAGACGAAGAAAACGGCACGGCUGCGAUCACCUUUGCUGGUUAUGGCAAUGCUGAAGUGACUCCCCUGUUGAACCUCAAGCCUGUGGAAGAAGGAAGGAAGGCAAAGGAGGACAGUGGCAGCAAACCAAUGUCAAAAAAAGAAAUGAUUGCCCAGCAGCGUGAAUAUAAAAAGAAGAAAGCUUUGAAAAAAGCACAAAGAAUAAAGGAACUUGAGCAGGAAAGAGAAGACCAGAAAGUGAAAUGGCAGCAGUUCAACAACAGAGCCUAUUCUAAAAACAAAAAGGGCCAGGUGAAGAGGAGUAUUUUUGCUUCACCUGAGAGUGUAACUGGCAAAGUUGGAGUAGGAACUUGUGGAAUUGCUGAUAAACCUAUGACACAGUAUCAAGAUACUUCUAAAUACAAUGUCAGGCAUUUGAUGCCUCAAUAAUCAAAAAAACUGUUGGAUUUCAUCUCUGCAGGGCUUUACAUUUACCUUUUUAUCCUUAUAUUUUUCUAAAGGUAAAUUAUUUGAUAGGUGAGUAAGGAAGAUACCAUUGUUGUCAUUGUUUGACUUUAAUAGAGUGAAACUUGAAGAAAUUGCAUUUGAUAAACUGUUAUUCAUUUAACUUUUCAUUGCUACUACCAUAGUUCCCUCAGAGUUUAUUGAAUAAGGCAACUUUUCUAGAUAGAAGCUGCUUCAUUCGGCACUUUGAUGAAUUGUUGAUAUACUAAUACCAAGUCCCACGUGCAGUCGUAACUUGGAGUUUGACACACAAUUCAUUGGAACAUGAAGGCAAAACACCAGCCACCUGCUAGAGAUCUUUUUUCUUUUUUUCAACUUUAAAACCGAGCUAUUGUCAAGAUAAGUCUAAAGGAUUUUUGAGUUGCAAGUUAAACUGAAUUUUUACUGCACUGGAGAUGAAGAGCAUAGCAGGCAAAGUAACAGCCCUGUACUUAUCUUAGCAAGAUGCAGUGAAUUUCUGACCCCAGAAACAGGCUUGGUGCAAACACUUGACUCCAUAUCGUGGGAAAACUUGAGUCGAAGCCUGAGCUCUGCAGCUAGGCUAGUCUUUAAUAGAUGGUAAUUACCAGUUGCUCAUUGCUCAGAAGUGGCAGGAAGGAGUAAGUAUCCCUUCAGUUCUUCUGCCUGGAGUUUUCCCUCCAUGAGUGCUGUCAGGUAUAGGUGAUCUAGCUUUCAGUUAAGUGUGACGAAGGUACUGACCUCUUAAAUUUACACAGUAUUCUCUUGGUACACAUUUUAGUAAUGUUGCAUGGCUUUCGUUACAUCUUUACAGUACUAUUCUUUGCCCUGGUGUGAACAUCUAAAAUACCCCAGUUAUCGCCCUAACAAUAAAGACUGUUUUCCCUGUUGCAAAGAGCUAUCAAGAAAAUAGAAAUAAUCCCCCAAAUCACAGUAAGUGGGUUGGCAGUAUUUUAAUAGUGUUUCACUUGGGCUGUUUUUCAUAAUUUGUAACUUGGAAGAAAGGCAAAACAAGGGCCGGGGAUGUAGCUCAGUGGCGUCACUCCUGCCUGGCAAACACAAGGCCCGGAGUUCGAGUCCCAGUUCCAGAAAGAAAAGAAGGGCAAAACAAUGAAGUGAAAUCGUCAGUAUGUGCCUUUGAAUUACACUAAAAGAAUUAGACAGUCUGCAACAAAAGUUUCUUGUUCUAGUGCAUGGGGGCAAGAAGAUAGCUGUUUAUUUGCUUUUCUAGGCAAGGUCAGCAUUAAAUAUUAAAUAUUAAGCAGGGCUUUCAGAUACCUAUAGCAGUCAAGACCCUAUCUCAAAAAAAAUUUUUAAAGGGGGCCAGGGAUUUAGCUCAGUGGCACCUCACUUGCCUGCCAAGCACAAGGUCCUGAGUUCAAUCCCUGGUACUGGAGGGAAAAAAAAGGGCUAGGGAUGUAGCUGAGGGGUAGAGCAUGCCUGGGUUUAAGCAGCAGUAUAACCUUACAGGAGGAGGCUUGCCUCGACACUUUAAAUCCCUUCAUAAUUCUAAAGGCAGCCAUUGUCAUGGGGCCUGCAGAGAUUUUUUAAAAGUAGUUCUCAUACAUGUGCUAACCAGAGUGACUUCAUCAGAAUCCUCUGGUAGUGCGGUGGGGUAAGAUUUACCUAUACCUCUAAAGUAUAGCCCACAGGCAUUUUAUUAGAAGAGUACCCUAAAAUAAAGUUAGUGGGGACUGAAGGGAACUGCCAGUCUUUUCAGUUUGUGUAAUAGUGUAACUAAAUGGAUCCCCUGAGAUCAGAUAAUGUCAAAAACUCUGUGUCCUACGUGAAGCACUUACCCAAUACAUGAAGCCAUGUGCUUAGGUUAUAUGGAAUUAGAUAGGCACCUGUUUAAAUUUUAGAAUAGUAAUUAUAAUUCAGAAAUUCUGGACUUCUGAUGUAUCACAGACAGAAGAUAGUUGCCUGAAGGUGUGGAUGUUCAUGUUUGCCUUCGUGGAGAAGGGUGUUAAAAAAAUUAACUCGGGUAUUCUUUAUUCACAAUCUUUAUUUCUUGCGGUUCAGUUACGUGUCAGUUGGUCUUUUGAAAAACUAAUCCUUCUUAUUCAUUAUACAUUUUACCCUUUCCUUCCCUCAAGGAAAACCAACCCAGGGAAGGAGCAGUAUAGGGGAGCAGUUGAUGUGUGUACUAUAGGGUUGGGACAGAUGCUUCCCCACCCAUCAUCCUGUACAUAUACAGUGAAAUGGCAGCACCUCAGAUGUGUCCCAUGUCCCACGUUUCAGCUUUUUGUAAAAUGAUGCUAGUGAAUGCUAUGGGAAAAAUAAAAAUGGAUUUCCAUGGUAAGAAGCACACUCUUUAAACUCUCACUUGGAAAAGUCAAAAAUAAGCAAAUACAUAGUGCAACAUCUUGACCUAGCCAGGGAUAUUAUAAAUGAAAAAAAAUAAUUUACCUGGGCCAUAGGAAUGAAUUUCUUUUGUCAUGUUUUUCAUUAUGUCUCCAGCACCUGAAGUGUAGUAAGUUUCUAAAGGGAUGCAGUUUUUCACACACACCUACUUCAAAGAAUUUAUCUACUCAAACACAGCACAGUCAAGGGAAAAUUUUUUGGAGGGACAAGAGGAGCACAAGAACAAGUGUGCGUGCACACGUGCUGAGGGCCUUAGGUGUGACCAGGAUGGUACACUUCACAUACAGAAGCACUGAAUGCUGCUACAGUGCUGCUCACAAGAGUCUGACAUUAACACACAACUCAGCUGCACUGCUAAAUACGGUUGUCUUUAUUUUCUUUUUCCUUGCCCAGCCCUAUCUAAACAUAAAAUGGAACUACAGGACUGAAAUUAACAAUCCAUUAAAA